CUUCCCUCUGCGCCUCCCCGGUCACCGCGGCGGAGGCUGAACUUCCUGGGUCACCGGCGGCUCCUCCAUCCGGGAGCCCGGGCGGAGCAGCCGCGGGGCCGGCGGCGGCAGCGGCGGCGCUUCCCCGAGCAGCCCGGCGCGGGGGAGCCCCGGCCCCGGCCGGCCCUGCCGCCCCCCCCCGCCCGCAGGUACCGGUGUGCCGGGGGUCCCUCUGCGGAGCUGGGGAGGGGUUGCUGAGCCGGCGGGUGCCCCCGCUCGGGCCCCGCUGGGCGGGGGGGCCACGGAGGGAAGAUGCUCGGGCACCCGCAUCCCCAGCCGAGGGCGGCGGGGCCCUGCCAGCGGCCCCCUGUGUCUGCCUAAGAAGCCACCCAGGUCCGGUUAGUGGGCAGCGCGGCAAGAGCAGGGGACGCGGCUGCUCUGUGCCCGCGCUGGGGGGUACCCCUGAACCCCCUUUCCCUCUCUUGCAGGGGCUGCCGGGCUUCGAAGCGGCAGCGGCCGGUGGGUGCCGGCGGCGUCGGCGUCAUGCAGGAGAGCUACGAGUCCCUGAUCCUGCUGGACUUCCCGAUUCCCAAGCCUAACGUCAUCUCCCGGCUGGAGCUGGAGGAAGAGCUGGGGGUGCCGGACCCGAACGACUCCAAGGAAUGGGAGAUCCUCAGGGUGGCCCCCGCAGGUGAGCCGGGAACCCACCCCGAAUGGGCCGGAGGUUUUAGCGACAGCCCUGUGGCAGCCCCCACUCCUCCAUCUCAGGGAGCGUCCCAAGCUUGCAGGUAUCCAGGGCUCUGCGUGUAGCUGCCGGGCUGGGGUCGGGAAGAGCUUUCUUGCCCUCUGUUCUGGGAUCGGCCUUUGGCAGCUGUCCACCCGAAUUCUUCAGGCUUCCCCUAUUUCCCCUUGGUGCUGGGAAUCACUCCUGUCGGCGUU
rnacentral:lncRNA from 1 species